rnacentral:rRNA from 1 species
AAUCAACGCUGGCGGCGUGCCUCAGACAUGCAGGUCGAACGCGAAAGUUCCCUUCGGGGAGCGAGUAGAGUGGCGUACGGGUGAGUAACACGUAGGUAAUCUACCUUUGGGUGGGAAGUAACAGCCGGAAACGGCUGCUAAUACCGCAUAAUGCAGCGGCUCGACAUCGAGACAGUUGUUAAAGCGGGGAGUCGCAAGACCUCGCGCCUAAAGAGGAGCCUGCGGCGGAGUUAGCUAGUUGGUGGGGUAAGUGGCUCACCAA